rnacentral:lncRNA from 1 species
UGGAUGUCAUCGGUUUGGUGGCAGCAAGCGAGAUGACGAGCUUGGCAAAGCAAAGGCGCGUCAAGGCUGCGGCUCUCUUUUAUACUGCCGGCCGGAACGGUUGGGAAGAAAGAAAUUGGCGCUUCUUUGAAGAUCGGUGGCGAAUGAAUGCGUCACAAGAGGGGCAUGUGGAGGCUCUGAGCUACCCUAGUAUCUGUGUUAACUUUUGUUCUUUCAGAGUGCCUGCUGUGCGAGUUUAUCAGUUUAUGCAAUAUCAACUAUCGUGAGACUUUGCUUGAUUUUUCUACUUAAAUGACAUCGCAGUGCUCCUGCACCUUUUUUUUUCCUAUUGGCUAGCUCAACCUACUGUACAUUAAGGGAAUAAUUUAUCGCCGAUAAAAUAUCGAUAAAUCCGAUAAUCCUGUUUAUUGGCAUGGUCCGGUAAAAUAUUUUUUAUCACCUAAAUUUUAAUUUUUAGUUGAAUUCGCAUGCAGUUCACUGGUUGACCCUCAUAAACUUGUGAUAUUAUGUCAUUUCAGUGGCAUUAUAUGUAGUUUUGUUAUGUUAAAUGGUUUGGAAACAAAUAUGUAACUUUUUAGAGAAAUUGAGACAACAAUUUGUUUAAAUUUUG